AGUCAGAAUAUUUGUGGUUUACAAAACGAUUGGAAACAAAGAGCUCGGGUACUUUGCUCAUAUGACGCAACGGACAGUACUGAGCUUAAUCUCAGCGCUAAUGAGAUCAUAUUUGUGACGGAAUUAAAUCCCCUCAAUUCUGAUUAUAUGUAUGGAAAACAAGGCCUGAUAAAUGGCUUAGUACCAAAAGCAUUCUUGGAACUUUUGGAAGAAUAAUUUUCUUGUGGUAUGGCAUCGGAGUAUAUUGUUUCGAUGUUUCGAUGUUCUGAUAUCAUUUUGCCUCCUAACAUUCAAUUAAAUCUGUUCGCAAAUAUUUAUUCUAUUCCUUUAGAAAUUUAAUUGUAAUAAAUACUCUCUUUGCUUCAGGUUCACAUAUUCUUAAAAUACGCAUAGUU